rnacentral:rRNA from 1 species
GAUGAACGCUGGCGGCGUGCCUAAUACAUGCAAGUCGAGCGAACAGACGAGAGUGCUUGCACUCUCUGACGUUAGCGGCGGACGGGUGAGUAACACGUGGGUAGCCUACCUAUAAGACUGGGAUAACUUCGGGAAACCGGAGCUAAUACCGGAUAAUAUUUAGCUUCGCAUGAAGCAAUAGUGAAAGACGGUUCUGCUGUCACUUAUAGAUGGACCCGCGGUGUAUUAGCUAGUUGGUGAGGUAACGGCUCACCAAGGCAACGAUACAUAGCCGACCUGAGAGGGUGAUCGGCCACACUGGGACUGAGACACGGCCCAGACUCCUACGGGAGGCAGCAGUAGGGAAUCUUCCGCAAUGGACGAAAGUCUGACGGAGCAAUGCCGCGUGAGUGAAGAAGGUUUUCGGAUCGUAAAACUCUGUUGUAAGGGAAGAACAAGUACGUUAGUAACUGAACGUACCUUGACGGUACCUGACCAGAAAGCCACGGCUAACUACGUG